ACGGUAUUGACAGCAUUUUAAUAAAAAUCAUACCAACUAGAACACAUUCCCGAUUGGCAAUUGGCUUCGUUGUUACAAACACUCGUUAACGGUUAUUCGAUCCCACUUGUCCGCUAAUCAUAACAAUGAACGUGUUAAUGGCAUACAUAAAGAGGGUCCAUUACUGUCCCUUGAUAACAAAAGACUAGUUAAUUGGCAUGUGACAAACAGGCCCCACCUCCUGCAGUGAUUCUCAAGUGUGUUCCCGCAUUCGUACCACGAUUUUUCGCAACUGCGAUUGAUCGCGAAUAUGUAUUACACACAAAUCGGAUAUUGACUGGCGCAUUUUUAAAAAAUUCAAAAUCAGAAAUCGGCGAAUUUAAGUGCUGACGAAAUCGUCAUUUUUAUAAAAAUGACAAAAUUUUGUGCUGUCGAAAAUAAAUGGUUUCACAGUAAUACAUCCAUGCUGACACAGAAAGGCAGUAAUGACUUGGUUGUGAACACCCAGGGCAAGAUAUAUCCAUGCUGACACAGAAAGGCAGUAAUGACUAUGCUGUGAACACCCAGAGCAAGAUAUAUCCAUGCUGACACAGAAAGGAAGUAAUGACUUGGUUGUGAACACCCAGAGCACAAUACAUCCAUGCUGACACAGAAAGGCAGUAAUGACUUGGCUGUGAACACAGAACACGAUACACACAUGCUGACACAGAAAGGCAGUAAUGACUUGCUGUGAAAACAGAGCACAAUACAUCCAUGCUGAAACAUAAUGGCAGUCAUGACUAUGCUGUGAACACCCAGAGCAUGAUAUAUCCAUGCUGACACAGAAAGGCAGUAAUGACUAUGCUUUGAACACCCAGAGCAAGAUAUGUCCAUGCUGACACAGAAAGGCAGUAAUGACUAUGCUGUGAAAACCCACAGAAAGAUAUAUCCAUGCUGACACAGAAAGGCAGUAAUGACCGUGCAGUGAACACCCAGAGCAAGAUAUAUCCAUGCUGACACAGAAAGGCAGUAAUGACUUGGUUUUGAACAAACAGAGCACGAUAUAUCCAUGCUGACACAGAAAGGCAGUAAUGACUUGGCUGUGAACACAGAACACGAUACACCCAUGCUGACAUAGAAAAGGCAGUAAUGACUUGGCAGUGAACACAGAACACGAUACACCCAUGCUGACACAGAAAGGCAGUAAUGACUUUGCUGUGAACACAGAGAACAAUACAUCCAUGCUGACACAGAAAGGCAGUAAUGACUUGGCAGUGAGCACAGAACACCAUACAUCCAUGCUGAUACAGAAAGGCAGUAAUGACUUGGCUGUGAACACAGAGCACAAUACAUCCAUGCUGACACAGAAAGGCAGUUAUGACUCGGUUGUGAACACAGAGCACAAUACAUCCUUGUUGACACAGAAAGGCAGUAAUGACUUAGCUGUGAACACAGAGCACAAUACAUCCAUGCUGACACAGAAAGGCAGUUAUGGCUUGGUUGUGAACACAGAGCACAAUACAUCCUUGUUGACACAGAAAGGCAGUUAUGACUUUGCUGUGAACUCAGAGCACGAUACAUCCAUGCUGACACAGAAAGGCAGUAAUGACUAUGCUGUGAACACCCAGAGCACAAUACAUCCAUGCUGAAACAGAAAGGCAGUCAUGACUAUGCAGUGAACACCCAGAGCAAGAUAUAUCUAUGCUGACACAGAAAGGAAGUAAUGACUAUGCUGUGAACACCCAGAGCAAGAUAUAUCCAUGCUGACACAGAAAGGCAGUAAUGACUAUGCUGUGAACACCCAGAGUACAAUACAUCCAUGCUGAAACAGAAAGGCAGUAAUGACUUGGUUGUGAACACAGAGCACAAUACAUCCUUGUUGACACAGAAAGGCAGUAAUGACUUUGCUGUGAACUCAGAGCACGAUACAUCCAUGAUUACACAGAAAGGCAGUAAAGACUUGGUUGUAAACACCCAGAGCACAAUACAUCCAUGCUGACACAGAAAGGCAGUAAAGACUUGGUUGUAAACACCCAGAGCACAAUACAUCCAUGCUGACACAGAAAGGCAAUAAAGACUUGGUUGUAAACACCCAGAGCACAAUACAUCCAUGCUGACACAGAAAGGCAGAAAAGACUUUGUUGUAAACACUAAGAUAUCCAUACAUCCAUGGGGUAGUGCUACAGACGCAAAUUACGCCCACCAUUUUGAACAAGGUGCUUAAAGUGAACACGUCUGGUUUCUGUUAUGAACACUUAGCACUCCGAGUCCAAAAGGCCUCACAUUGAAUUGAUGCAAGAGAAGGCUUUGAAAAAUAACAGCAGUUUUGUUGUGUGGUCCAGUACGCCCUUCGACUAGCAAACUGAAGAAAGCAGAACUCAAAACUCGUCUCUUAGCAAUAUCAGCAAGGCCAGCAUGUCAUAUCAGCUUCUUGAGCUUCAGUGAGCUUUACUAGCAAACAUGACAAACGUCAUUGAAGUGAAAGUCGAUGACAAAUCGACUUCUUGCACAAAUACUACAACUCCCUUAAGAAAUUCAGCACGAAGACAUCUUGCGUCAGACUACCAAGCCUCCUAUCAAUAUCUCCUCCCAUAUUGGGUACAUCAAUACUUCCAAAAGCAGAGCCUCGGUGAGUUCGACUUCCGUCUCAGCAUCGAUGUCGCUUAGCAACAAUUGGAUGAUGGGCGUCGACAAAUAAGCCGGAUAAGUCGCUCUAACUGAAACAAUUUGAUCCAACAGGUAGAGCAGGCGUUGGGUGACACGUCCGUUAAUGUGACUGCCCUCGAUAUGUUGUUCUCGAAUAAUGUGAACCUUAGGCCUGGAGAGCAGUAUGCAUUUGACGCCAUUCAACAACAGUUAUUGUCGGCAGUUUUCAGGUUUGGGGUGGCAACUUCGGCGUCGGGACUCACUCCAUCUCUGUCUAUGGCCCAGUCGCAGCAGCAGCAGCAGCAACAAGAAUAAUAAGUAGUAUCUUAGCGGUGUUCUGGGAUAUGGGACUUCAUGUAUGUGCUUAAAUUGUCAUCCCAGAUUAGCCUGUGCAGACUGCACCUACAUUAAGUCCUAUUAAAUUGUCAUCCCAGAUUAGCCUGUGCAGACUGCACAUACAUUAAGUCCUUUUAAAUUGUAAUUCCAGAUUAGCCUGUGCACACUGAACAUAUAUUAAGUCCUAUUAAAGUGUCAUCUCAGAUUAGCCUGUGCAGACUGCACAUACAUUAAUCCUAUUUAAGUGUCAUCCCAGAUUAGCCUGUGCAGACUGCACAUACACUAAGUCCUAUUAAAGUGUCAUCCCAGAUUAGCCUGUGCAGAUUGCACAUACAUUAAGUCCUAUUAAAGUGUCAUCCCAGAUUAGCCUGUGCAGACUGCACAUACAUUAAGCCCUAUUAAAGUGUCAUCCCAGAUUAGCCUGUGCAGACUGCACAUACAUUUAGUCCUAUUAAAGUGUCAUCCCAGAUUAGCCUGUGCAGACUGC